rnacentral:snRNA from 1 species
AUGCUUACCUGGCGCCGGGGUCUGUUUGGUCAUCGAGGACGAGUCCCCAGGACGAAGCGCUGGCAUUGCAGUGCGUUCGUGGUUACCCCGGCUACUACCCCAAACUGGGACAGACGGCGCAUGCAAAC